rnacentral:tRNA from 1 species
ACCCUCGUAGCUCAGUUGGAUAGAGCAACAGACUUCUAAUCUGUAGGUCAUUGGUUCGAAUCCAAUCGAGGGUG